rnacentral:rRNA from 1 species
GUCUUCUUGAGGUUGAUAAGAAGUCUGACCUGCCCGGUGAAUUAUUUUUAACGGCCGCGGUAUUCUUGACCGUGCAAAGGUAGCAUAAUCAUUAGUCUUUUAAUAGAAGGCUGGUAUGAAAGGUUUGACGAAGAGUUGACUGUCUCAUUUAAUUUUUUAUUAAAAUUUAAUUUUUUAGUUAGAAAGCUAAAAAUUUUGUUGGUAGACGAGAAGACCCUAUAGAGUUUUAUAGUUUAUUUCAUAUAUGUCAUAUAAUUUUGUGUAUGUUUUAUACUAUUUUGUUGGGGUGACAAAAAUAUAUAAUUAACUUUUUUAUUUAAUUAUCAUUGAUUUAUGUAUAUUAGAUCCAAUCUUAUUGAUUAUUAGUACAAAUUACC